UAAUGUUUGUGAUAGUACAGGAAUAGCUGCAUCCAAUUUUAAAAAAUAAACUACUCUAUUUGAAAUAAACUUUCUGAAAUGAGAGAAAUUUUUUCCAUGUAUACACACAUAUAGACAAUAAUGUUAUCUGAGGGAUCUAAUGUAUUUUGUUGGUAAUAUAUAAUGAAGUUGCCUCGAGGUUCCUUUUGAAUAGAGGGCAGUGUCUUAAGGGAAUUGAAUCUAAUUUUAGCUAAUUCUUGAGGCUACCUGUGUGAUUCCAUCUGUGGUAAGGGAAAUUGCUCAGGCAGGGACAGAUUAUUCAAUAAAUUCCAUAAGAUUAGUAGUAAUUAGGCAAAAUGGAAAUCAGAAACUGAAUAGAAGAAAUGUGACACAUGUUUCUCUCCUAGCAAUGAGUUUGGAACAUAGUUCGAUAUUUAUUAUAAAGACCCUAUGUUGAUUGAAUACAGAGAAUAUAUUCUUUCUCUAUAUCACAAAUGCAGAUGUUCAUUGGGGAAUCCUGCGUGUUCUUCCACUGAGUCUGGUCUCCUAUUUCAUAAUACUACACAGCUAGAUCUUCAGAUCAAAGAGGCAAGUUGAUGAAGUGUCUCUAUGGAAGUGUCUCAUCACUGCAGGAGAAGAAGCCAAUAAGACUGGAAUGAGAUACGGCUGUUGCACACCAAAAACUUAAUUGGCUACCUCAAUGUAUCAAACCAUUCUUUGAUAUUUUGUUGGUUUUUUUUAAUUAUUUUCUUUUUUUUAUUGUCAUUGUGCAAUCAAAAAAUUACAUUGGUUUUAUGUUCAAAAUCUUUAUAUACCUUUUACCUUCUCACAUACCUCUCACUGGUACUUGAUCAGUAAUUACACUGUGUUUAACUACAGAGUUAUUUUUCUCUAUCAGAAAUGUGAAUUUAUUGCAUUUUAACUUGAGAUUUUUCAAUAAUAUUCCAGUUAGCAGCUAUUUUUCUCCAGUGUCUUUUUGAAUUGAAAAUUUCUGUUUUUCCAUUAGUAGGUAUUCCUGAUGAAAAAAUGAUCCUGUACAGCUGAAAGGCAUAAGGUAUUCUGAGCUGUUUCUGGGCAAUUUGAUCUUUCAAUAUUUAACCAUACCAAUGCAUUUUAAUUGAACGAUAUUAGUUGGGACUUUACAGUAGGACAUAUUGCAGAUAUUUUGAAAUAUUUUUGUACCUCAAGUGUAUCAGUCACCUUCUAUUUUUGAACUGGCUUUGAUCACAAUGUUACUUUCUAUCUAUCUUGUGUAAAUAAAUGUAGAUAAACAUAAUUUUGCUGCUGAC
rnacentral:lncRNA from 1 species